CCAGGAUGGUCUUGAUCUCUUGACCUCGUGAUCCGCCCACCUCAGCCUCCCAAAGUGCUGGGAUUACAGGCGUGAACCACAGCGCCUGGCCCACGAUUACUAGGCAUUUCCAAACCACUUGCCAGGGUGGUCCGGAGCCUGCCGUGGCCCGGUCUGGCCCCUCUGCCUGCCGCAUCGCCAAGUGUAGGCUUUAGAUGGGACGCAGCAGAACGCGGUUCCUCAUGGAGUUAGGGCCAGCAUGUGAAAAAAGCUUCCAGGCCCCAAAAGGCGUAGGGCCAGGGCCACAGCUGGGCUCUGGAUCCCUUCACCAGGGGCAGCCCACUUCAAGUCCUCAAGAUCUCCCAGUCUAGACCCCAGAAGGAGGAGUCUCAAGUUAUUCCUUAGGAAGUCUCAGUGGACAAACAAUGUGCUGUUUCGGGAAAAAAUAGACCUGGCAUGAUUGUUUCUUCCCAGCUUUCCCGGGCAUUCUGAGAGCUUUCGUUUCUCCUCAGAGGAGGGUUCUUUCAAAGUCACCUCCUCCGUGAAGCCUUUCCUGAUUCCCCUGAACAAGGAGAGGAAAUUGAGACCCAGAGACAUGAAAUAACUUGCCCGAGUCACCAGGAAGAGGCAGCACCGGGCCUGAGGCUCACGCUGCUGACUUCAUGUUAACCAACCACCGUCCUGCCUCUUCCCGCCCUGGUCUGUCUCCCCCAGCCUUCACCUCCUCCUGCAACUGCAGAUAGAAGCUGCUGCUUCCUUUGUUUGUCAUUCUGAAGUUGUCUGUUUUGUCCAUCUUUAUAAAGUUCUAUGUUAAGAACCAUC